UGGUCAGAUUGGUCGUCUUAUUACCAUUUCAACUACUCCGGUUAUCGCUGGCGACUCCUUCGAGAUGGACGCCGUUGGCGCUCUCCGUCUUUCUCCAUUGCGUCGUGGCCUUGCUAUUGACUCUACUGUAGACAUUUUUACUUUUUAUGUCCCUCAUCGUCACGUUUAUGGUGAACAGUGGAUUAAGUUCAUGAAGGAUGGUGUUAAUGCCACUCCUCUCCCGACUGUUAACACUACUGGUUAUAUUGACCAUGCCGCUUUUCUUGGCACGAUUAACCCUGAUACCAAUAAAAUCCCUAAGCAUUUGUUUCAGGGUUAUUUGAAUAUCUAUAACAACUAUUUUAAAG
rnacentral:rRNA from 1 species